rnacentral:rRNA from 1 species
GUGCCAGCAGCUGCGGUAAUACGUAGGUGGCAAGCGUUGUCCGGAUUUAUUGGGCGUAAAGGGAACGCAGGCGGUUUUUUAAGUCUGAUGUGAAAGCCUUCGGCUUAACCGAAGAAUAGCAUUGGAAACUGGAAGACUUGAGUGCAGAAGAGGAGAGUGGAACUCCAUGUGUAGCGGUGAAAUGCGUAGAUAUAUGGAGAACACCAGUGGCGAAAGCGGCUCUCUGGUCUGUAACUGACGCUGAGGUUCGAAAGCGU